rnacentral:misc_RNA from 1 species
CGUAUGAGCGAGGACAUUACUAUCCUCCCGUCAUACAGGGCACAUCAGGCUUUCGUAAGGGACAAUUGAUUCGGGCAAAAAGGGACAAAGUCCCCGACCGAUCUUUUGCUUCUACAUACAAGACUUCGAGCAACCCUUGGGCGUCCAAUGCCUGCUAGCUAAAUAAGAAAAGCAAGAGCGAACGUACAUGGGUGCUAAAUGGUCUACGUCGCACAAAACCUUUUAGCACGAGAUAGAGUAUGGAUCGUGGGACUAGAGCAUUCCGUCAAAAUAGGUAUGCUGCACAGGGGGCCAAGGCAGUCCAAGGUAAAAGAUUUAGCACUCAAACAGAAUUGAACAGGUGUGAACUAGCGAUUAUCGCUGCCAGGGCAGGGAACCAACCAACCGGAACAUACC